GCAUUGGUGGUUCAGUGGUAGAACUCUUGCUUUCCACGCAGGAGACCUGGGUUCGAUUCCCAACCGAUGCA
rnacentral:tRNA from 2 species